CAGCGCAGAACCACAGUCGAUAGAAUAAGGUUAGGAAACUCGAUGCAAACAUGCAUAAUAGACCUCAUUAUCUUUGUUGGUUUUUGCAACAUAUGGUCGGUUCAUCGUCACGUGUGUAUUGUAGUUUCGCUAGACCAACCAAUAGCUAUGUUUUCAUUUAACCAUUGUGUAAUAUCAUGAUUGGGUAAUCCAACCAACACACUGCUAUUGAUUGGUUGGGCGAAAAAAUAAUACACACGUGACGAUGAACCAUAGAAAUAAUAGACAUAGAAUGCGUGCUCCUAUCUUUUCUUAGUAAAAAUUUUGUCUCCACAAAAUGGCGGAUUUAUAAGGGCAUUUUGGCUAGUCCCAGACUCUUGCAGCAAGG